CUUCCUAUCCCAGGAAUCGAACCCAGUUCUCCUGCACUGUAGGCAGAUGCUUUACCAUCUGAGCCACUAGGGA
rnacentral:tRNA from 1 species